rnacentral:lncRNA from 1 species
CCGUCCGUGCCUGAUUGAAUCUGGGUCGUCCAUGCGCGUGGAUCUGGGCCGUCCGUGCGCACGUUUGAUCUGGGCCGUCCGUGUGCGCGGGAACGGAUCUGGGUCGUCCGAUCGCGCGCACGCGGAUCGCCCACGUGGCUUAUUCCCUGGUCAGCGUUGCCUUGCCACGCGGCACGUUCUGGUUGGCCGGGGCUGCUGACCGGGCC